GACGAACGCUGGCGGCGUGCCUAAUACAUGCAAGUUGAGCGAUGAAGAUUGGUGCUUGCACCCAUUUGAAGAGCAGCGAACGGGUGAGUAACGCGUGGGGAAUCUGCCUUUGAGCGGGGGACAACAUUUGGAAACGAAUGCUAAUACCGCAUAACAACUUUAAACAUAAGUUUUAAGUUUGAAAGAUGCAAUUGCAUCACUCAAAGAUGAUCCCGCGUUGUAUUAGCUAGUUGGUGAGGUAAAGGCUCACCAAGGCGAUGAUACAUAGCCGACCUGAGAGGGUGAUCGGCCACAUUGGGACGGGGACACGGCCCAAACUCCUACGGGAGGCAGCAGUAGGGGAUCCUCGGGAAUGGACGAAAGUCUGACCGAGCAACGCCGCGUGAGUGAAGAAGGUUGUCGGAUCGUAAAACUCUGUUGGUAGAGAAGAACGUUGGUGAGAGUGGAAAGCUCAUCAAGUGACGGUAACUACCCAGAAAGGGACGGCUAACUACGUG
rnacentral:rRNA from 1 species